rnacentral:rRNA from 1 species
AGAGUUUGAUCCUGGCUCAGGAUGAACGCUGGCGGCGUGCCUAACACAUGCAAGUCGAACGGAGCUGCUUUGAUGAAGUUUUCGGAUGGAUUUAAAACAGCUUAGUGGCGGACGGGUGAGUAACGCGUGGGUAACCUGCCUCACACUGGGGGAUAACAGUUAGAAAUAGCUGCUAAUACCGCAUAAGCGCACGGUUCCGCAUGGAACAGUGUGAAAAACUCCGGUGGUGUGAGAUGGAUCCGCGUCUGAUUAGCCAGUUGGCGGGGUAACGGCCCACCAAAGCGACGAUCAGUAGCCGGCCUGAGAGGGUGAACGGCCACAUUGGGACUGAGACACGGCCCAAACUCCUACGGGAGGCAGCAGUGGGGAAUAUUGCACAAUGGGGGAAACCCUGAUGCAGCGACGCCGCGUGAGUGAAGAAGUAUUUCGGUAUGUAAAGCUCUAUCAGCAGGGAAGAAAGUGACGGUACCUGAAUAAGAAGCCCCGGCUAACUACGUGCCAGCAGCCGCGGUAAAACGUAGGUCACAAGCGUUGUCCGGAAUUACUGGGUGUAAAGGGAGCGCAGGCGGGAAGACAAGUUGGAAGUGAAAUCUAUGGGCUCAACCCAUAAACUGCUUUCAAAACUGUUUUUCUUGAGUAGUGCAGAGGUAGGCGGAAUUCCCGGUGUAGCGGUGGAAUGCGUAGAUAUCGGGAGGAACACCAGUGGCGAAGGCGGCCUACUGGGCACCAACUGACGCUGAGGCUCGAAAGUGUGGGUAGCAAACAGGAUUAGAUACCCUGGUAGUCCACACCGUAAACGAUGAUUACUAGGUGUUGGAGGAUUGACCCCUUCAGUGCCGCAGUUAACACAAUAAGUAAUCCACCUGGGGAGUACGACCGCAAGGUUGAAACUCAAAGGAAUUGACGGGGGCCCGCACAAGCAGUGGAGUAUGUGGUUUAAUUCGACGCAACGCGAAGAACCUUACCAAGUCUUGACAUCCCUUGACAGGCAUAGAAAUAUGUUUUCUCUUCGGAGCAAGGAGACAGGUGGUGCAUGGUUGUCGUCAGCUCGUGUCGUGAGAUGUUGGGUUAAGUCCCGCAACGAGCGCAACCCUUAUGGUCAGUUACUACGCAAGAGGACUCUGGCCAGACUGCCGUUGACAAAACGGAGGAAGGUGGGGAUGACGUCAAAUCAUCAUGCCCUUUAUGACUUGGGCUACACACGUACUACAAUGGCGUUAAACAAAGAGAAGCAAGACCGCGAGGUGGAGCAAAACUCAGAAACAACGUCCCAGUUCGGACUGCAGGCUGCAACUCGCCUGCACGAAGUCGGAAUUGCUAGUAAUCGUGGAUCAGCAUGCCACGGUGAAUACGUUCCCGGGCCUUGCACUCACCGCCCGUCA